ACGACUAUAUCACAUUGAAACACCAGUUCUUGUAUGAUCACCGACGUUAAGCAACGUCGAGCUUGUUCUGUACCUAGAUGGGAGACCACUUGGAAAUAUCAGGUACUGUAAG